UUUUGCCUCAAUUAUGUAUGAUUACCCGCUGAACUUAAGCAUAUCGUUAAGCGGAGGAAAAGAAACUAAAUAGGAUUUCCAUAGUAACUGCGAGUGAACUGGAAUUAGCCCAUCACGAAAUCUAUAUUAUAAUAAUAAUAUCGAAAUGUCGUGUAUAGGUUUUAUUAUUAUUAAUAAAUUAUUAUUAAAUAAUUGUAUUUAAAUAUACAGCCACAGAAGGUGCCAGCCCUGUUAUUUAAUAAUAUUUAUUAAAUUUAUAAAACUUUAGAGUCGUGUUGCUUGGAAGUGCAGCACAAAGUUGGUGAUAAACAUCAUCUAAGGCUAAAUAUUCCUAUGAAUCCGAUAGCGAACAAGUACUGUGAAGGAAAAUUGCAAAGUACUCCGGAGAGAGAGUUAAAGAGGACGUGAAACCGAUACGAUGGAAGCAUACAGAGCCAGUUGCACUAUUAUUAAUAUUUUUUUAUUAAUAAUUUUAAGCAUGGGUAUAUUGAUUAUUAAUUAGUUAUUUAUUAAAGAGUGAUAAAAUUUUUUAAAUUUUGUUAACUUUAAUAAAAUAAUUAUAUUUAUAAUUAAUAUUAUAUAUUAUUAAUGUAUUAAUAAUAUUUUAAUUAUUAAUAUAAUAUAAGACACAUGUGUUAAAUAUUAUUUAUUAAUAAUUAUUAUAUUAUUAUAAAUUAAUAAACCUAUGUAAUCCUGGUAUGCUGUAUGUCCCGUCUUGAAACACGGACCAAGGAGUGUAUUGCUAUGGCAAGUCAUUGAUAUUAUUAAUAUCAAAGGCAUAAUGAAAAUAAUUUUUAAUCUCAGAUCUUUUGAUUAUAUUAUCAUUAGCGCAUGAGAAACGUAAAUAUAUGAUUUAUUCAUUUUUUACAGUUAUAGCCAUAGUAGUGCGACCCGAAAGAUGGUGAACUAU
rnacentral:rRNA from 1 species